AACGUAGGAGGCGAGCGUUAUCCGGAGUUACUGGGCGUAAAGAGCGUGUAGGCGGGUAUGCAAGUUUGGCGGGAAAGCUCCCGGCUAAACUGGGAGAGUGCGCUGAAGACUGCGUAUCUAGAGGCGAGUAGAGGGACGUGGAAUUCCGGGUGUAGUGGUGAAAUGCGUAGAGAUCCGGAGGAACACCAGUGGCGAAGGCGACGUCCUGGGCUUGACCUGACGCUGAGACGCGACAGCACGGGGAGCGAACGGG
rnacentral:rRNA from 1 species